rnacentral:rRNA from 1 species
GAUGAACGCUGGCGGCGUGCCUAAUACAUGCAAGUCGAGCGAACGGACGAGAAGCUUGCUUCUCUGAUGUUAGCGGCGGACGGGUGAGUAACACGUGGAUAACCUACCUAUAAGACUGGGAUAACUUCGGGAAACCGGAGCUAAUACCGGAUAAUAUUUUGAACCGCAUGGUUCAAGAGUGAAAGACGGUCUUGCUGUCACUUAUAGAUGGAUCCGCGCUGCAUUAGCUAGUUGGUAAGGUAACGGCUUACCAAGGCAACGAUGCAUAGCCGACCUGAGAGGGUGAUCAGCCACACUGGAACUGAGACACGGUCCAGACUCCUACGGGAGGCAGCAGUAGGGAAUCUUCCGCAAUGGGCGAAAGCCUGACGGAGCAACGCCGCGUGAGUGAUGAAGGUCUUCGGAUCGUAAAACUCUGUUAUUAGGGAAGAACAUAUGUGUAAGAAACUGUGCACAGCUUGACGGUACCUAAUCAGAAAGCCACGGCUAACUACGUG